GUUAGCGAUAGGACGUUGAUCUAAACAAACAUUUCAUCAAACAGAAAUGUCCUUGCAACGGGAAAGAAAGAAAGAUGAAGACAUUCUUGUUGUUUGCGUUUAUACUAUCCAAUUUAUAUCUGACUUUUGCGGACUGGAUGCAUCCACACUAUAGCUACAG